rnacentral:lncRNA from 1 species
UCGCUCUGUCACCCAGGCUGGACUGCAGUGGCGCGAUCUUGGCUCACUGCAACCUCCGCCUCCUGGAUUCAAGCGAUUCUUCUGCCUCAGCCUCCCGAGUAGCUAGGAUUACAGGCAUGUGUCACCACGCCCGGCUAAUUUUGUAUUUUUAGUAGAGACGGGGUUUCUCCGUGUUGGUCAGGCUGGUCUCGAACUCCUGACCUCAGGUGAUCUGCCCGCCUCGGCCUCCCAAAGUGCUGAGAUUACAGACGUGAGCCACCGUGCCUGGCGGAAUUUUCAUAUUUUAAGUCCCCCACCCUUGGACAUUUAGAUUUUUUCCAUCUUUCUGUAUUUGCAGAUAUGCUUCUACGUACACCUUUAUUCAUUUGCUUGAACAUUUCCCUGAGAAAAACUAGAAAUGGAAUUGCCAGAUUACUUUGUGUACAUGUUUCCAAACUGUCCUCCAGAAAGAAUGUAAUGCUUUGAACUUCCACUUGAGAAUCAAAUGUUUACCUUCCUCUGUUCCUCCAGAUUUGGACAUUUACAGUGUUCAGCCGUUGUUGUGGCAUUCCAAUUCAAUUGGGAAACAGCUUGAUGUAGCGUCCCCAUAAGGUCCACAGUAAUUAAAUUUUUUUUUUUUUUUUUUGGUGCGGUAGUGCAAUUUCAUGGCUCACUGCAACCUCCACCUCCCAGGUUCAAGCGAUCCUCCCAUCUCAGCCUCCCUAGUAGCUGGGAUUACAGGUGCACGCCACCACACCAGGCUAAUUUUUGUAUUUUUAGUAGAGAUGGGGUUUCACCAGGUUAGCCAGGCUGGUCUUGAACUCCAGACCUCAAGGGAUCCGCCUGCCUCAGCUUUCCAAAGUGCUGGGAUUACAGGUGGAGACUGGACCUCAGAAGAGGGAGUGGGUGCCCCGAGAACUCACAGCUAGCGGACAGUGGAAAGGGCAGGAGCCGGACCAAGGUGAGGACAGUGGAACUGAAGGCCGCUGGUUACCUCUCCUGCCCUCCGCUGGCCACAGUGGAGAAGACAGCCCCUCCCUCCUGCUCUGACCUGACAGUGUUCAUCCAUCGCCCUGUAUUAGCGAAGAACAACAUCAAGCUGGCUAGCAAGGAACUGUAUACAGGGUCCAGCUGGGUAUCACACUGGAUCUCACCCAAAGCUUAGAUGUGAUCCAGCUCAGUAUCACAAAGCAGAACGAAAAGGAUGUGUUUGGGCUGAGAGGCCAUACAUUGAUGGAGUCUUGCUCUGUCGCCCAGGCUGGAGUCCAGUGGCGCGAUCUCGGUUCACUGCAAGCUCUGCCUCCCGAGUUCAUGCCAUUCUCCUGCCUCAGCCUCCUGAGUAGCUGGGACUACAGGCACCUGCCACCACGGCUGGC